UACGUAGGUGGCAAGCGUUGUCCGGAUUUACUGGGCGUAAAGGGCGUGCAGGCGGUUUGUUAAGUCUAGGGUGAAAGCUCCCGGCUCAACUGGGAGAGGUCCUAGGAUACUGGCGAACUUGAGGGAUGCAGAGGAAAGUGGAAUUCCCGGUGUAGUGGUGAUAUGCGUAGAUAUCGGGAGGAACACCAGUGGCGAAGGCGGCUUUCUGGGCAUUUCCUGACGCUGAGACGCGAAAGCGUGGGGAGCGAACCGG
rnacentral:rRNA from 1 species